rnacentral:rRNA from 1 species
AUUGAACGCUGGCGGCAUGCCUUACACAUGCAAGUCGAACGGUAACGGGCCUUCGGGUGCCGACGAGUGGCGAACGGGUGAGUAAUGUAUCGGAACGUACCUUUCAGUGGGGGAUAACGUAGCGAAAGUUACGCUAAUACCGCAUAUUCUGUGAGCAGGAAAGCAGGGGAUCGCAAGACCUUGCGCUGAUUGAGCGGCCGAUAUCAGAUUAGCUAGUUGGUGAGGUAAAGGCUCACCAAGGCGAUGAUAGAUAGGCGGCCUUAACGGGUGGUCGCCCACACUGGGAUUGAGAUACGGCCCAGACUCCUACGGGAGGCAGCAGUCGAGAAUAGUCUACAAUGGCCGGAAGGCUGAUAGUGCGACGCCGCGUGAACGAGGGAGCCCUUCGGGGUGUAAAGUUCUUUUCUAUACGAGCAGUGCUAUAUAUAUGGAUAGUAUAUAUAGAGGGAUAGUAGUAUAGGAAUAAGCAACGGCUAACUCCGUGCCAGC